rnacentral:rRNA from 1 species
AGUGGCGGACGGGUGAGUAACGCGUGAGAAUCUGCCUUGGGGUCGGGGACAACCACUGGAAACGGUGGCUAAUACCGGAUAAGCCGAUUGGUGAAAGAUUUAUUGCCCGAAGAGGAGCUCGCGUCUGAUUAGCUAGUUGGUGAGGUAAGAGCUCACCAAGGCAGCGAUCAGUAGCUGGUCUGAGAGGACGAUCAGCCACACUGGGACUGAGACACGGCCCAGACUCCUACGGGAGGCAGCAGUGGGGAAUUUUCCGCAAUGGGCGAAAGCCUGACGGAGCAAGACCGCGUGAGGGAGGAAGGCUCUUGGGUUGUAAACCUCUUUCCUCAGGGAAGAAGCUCUGACGGUACCUGAGGAAUCAGCCUCGGCUAACUCCGUGCCAGCAGCCGCGGUAAUACGGAGGAGGCAAGCGUUAUCCGGAAUUAUUGGGCGUAAAGCGUCCGCAGGUGGCGAUUCAAGUCUGCUGUCAAAGCACGGGGCUUAACUCCGUAAAGGCAGUGGAAACUGAAUAGCUAGAGUGCCGUAGGGGUAGAGGGAAUUCCCGGUGUAGCGGUGAAAUGCGUAGAGAUCGGGAAGAACAUCGGUGGCGAAAGCGCUCUACUGGACGGCAACUGACACUCAGGGACGAAAGCUAGGGGAGCGAAUGGGAUUAGAUACCCC